rnacentral:rRNA from 1 species
AGCCUGAUGCAGCCAUGCCGCGUGUAUGAAGAAGGCCUUCGGGUUGUAAAGUACUUUCAGCGGGGAUGAAGGGAGUAAAGUUAAUACCUUUGCUCAUUGACGUUACCCGCAGAAGAAGCACCGGCUAACUCCGUGCCAGCACCGCGGUAAUACCA